AGCAGCCGCGGUAAUUCCAGCUCCAAUAGCGUAUAUUAAAGUUGCUGCAGUUAAAAAGCUCGUAGUUGAAUUUCGGGAUCAGUACGCUGGUCGUGCCUUUGGUAUGUACUGGUGUCACUGAUUCCUCCCUUCUGAAGAACCGUUAUGCCAUUUAUUUGGUGUGGCGGGGAAUCAGGACUGUUACUUUGAAAAAAUUAGAGUGUUUAAAGCAGGCUCGCGCUUGAAUACAUUAGCAUGGAAUAAUGAAAUAGGACGUUUGAUUCUUAUUUUGUUGGUUUCUAGGAUCGACGUAAUGAUUAAUAGGGAUAGUUGGGGGCAUUAGUAUUCAAUUGUCAGGGGUGAAAUUCUUGGAUUUAUUGAAGACUAACUACUGCGAAAGCAUUUGCCAAGGAUGUUUUCAUUAAUCAAGAACGAAAGUUAGGGGAUCGAAGACGAUCAGAUACCGUCGUA
rnacentral:rRNA from 1 species